GAUGAACGCUGGCGGCGUGCUUAACACAUGCAAGUCGAGCGAGAAAAGUUCUUCGGAGCUUUUCUAGCGGCGGACGGGUGAGUAACACGUGGGCAACCUGCCUCAUAGAGGGGAAUAGCCUUCCGAAAGGAAGAUUAAUACCGCAUAACAUUGUUGAAAGGCAUCUUUUAACAAUCAAAGGAGCAAUCCGCUAUGAGAUGGGCCCGCGGCGCAUUAGCUAGUUGGUGAGGUAACGGCUCACCAAGGCGACGAUGCGUAGCCGACCUGAGAGGGUGAUCGGCCACAUUGGAACUGAGACACGGUCCAGACUCCUACGGGAGGCAGCAGUGGGGAAUAUUGCACAAUGGGGGAAACCCUGAUGCAGCAACGCCGCGUGAGUGAUGAAGGUCUUCGGAUUGUAAAGCUCUGUCUUUAGGGACGAUAAUGACGGUACCUAAGGAGGAAGCCACGGCUAACUACGUGCCAGCCGCCGCAGUAAUAC
rnacentral:rRNA from 1 species